UCAUGGUAGCUUUCUGAUGUCCAAACAUAAAAAUUGGCUAGGGCUUGGGUUAGUCUCUGAGUAAGGGCUGCCCUUGCUCAAGUAAUGAAAAACUGGGCUUUGUUAAAACAUGUAUUUUAGAUGAUGCUUCUCAAUUUACUGACACAUUGAUGUGUCAAUAUCUCUGUACAAGAGGAGCUGAUGGCAAUCCUAAUUGACAAGAAGAUCAGACACCUACAUUGGGACACCAGAGAUGAUUUAUCUGGGCAUCCUCAGAAAGGAAAGGAACGGUCUUCUUCCUCUACGUGCUACUUAGCUGUUACAACUUUUGCAUCCAAACUCAAGUCUGUUGCUCAUUUUGCAGCUCUGGAGAAUAGUCUGCCUACCUGUGUUACUGAGGAGUGCUGUGAUGGAUUUCCCUCUAGUGAUGAAAUAUGUCAACUGCAGAUUAUUCCACAAAUCUAAGAUGUGCUUGGAACAAGAAUUGAUGUUAUUUUGCAAUCAGGAAGCCAAUCAAAAAUCUCUCAAGACGCUUCACAGUUUUCAGUAUAGUGAAAACAGCUUAAUGAAGGACAUAGUCAGUGAUGUGGGAACAUGAAAACUGUCCUGUGAGACUUCAAUUACUGAAGAAACAAAAGAGGGAAAAAGAAAAUGGACCAAAAAUUCAACUUAAUUUAGCCAUUAUCUGGCAGGCAGUGCUGACAACGUAAGAUCUUUUUGACCUUGUAAACCAAGCACUUUUAAGAUGCACUUGACAGACAGUGCAGGUACAUAUCCUCAUUGCCAUACCUGCUUAAAGGUGUCUGUUCACAACAGAUUUUCAGGUUCAAGUGUAUAUAAUCCUAAAUUAAAAACUACUUCAGAAAUUA